GGAAUUGUUCCCAUUUUGCAGAUGUUCUUGGAUAUCUGCAAUCCUUCCUAUCAGCAGCUUCUUUCAUAGCAGGUGGACAACUGUUGAGAUCCCAGCUAUGCCUGCCAGCCAGCCUUGCCUCGCUCCACCUCGUGCGUCAGGAGAGGACUGAGACAAACAGUUGGAAGUCUCUGCAUCCUGAUUUGGACCUAAUCUUGCAUCUGGAGCCAAUUCAAGAGAAGCAUGAAAAGCUUUGAGGAAAAAUCAGUUCUAACCUGGCUGCUAUUUCUGGAGAAGCCAGUGCCUUUGUCUGCUACCAGCUCACUGGCUUGACAUCCAUAUGGGCUGUCUGUAGCCCUCACUACCUGAUCUAAACAAAAGAUUUGCAAUACAGAAUAGGGAGCAAAAGAAAUUGGAAAAACAAACCUGGAAAUAUGGUGAGUUGAAGACUCUGUGCUUCAAGUAAGCAGCUAAAAAUCCAAAUUGAACUCCCUUAAAGAAGAAAAACUCACAAUGUGCAUAGUCAAUUUUAUUCACUGUCAUGAGGUUCCUAUGGCAGUCCCUCAAAGCCACCAGCCAUAGAACAGGAGUGGCUGAUUACUUGGCAUUCCCUUGGCAUGUGAGUUUUUCAGGGUCUGACAUUUGAUUAUAC
rnacentral:lncRNA from 1 species